ACACACACAGUUAUUUAUAAAUGAUGUAUCAUUUUAUUAUUCUUCAAAACAUCAAAAGUCUAUAAACAACACACACAACUCACAAUGAUUAAGCUCAGUCAUCUUGAGUAUUUUGUUGACUUUCAGUCUUACAAACUGGCUUUACACAUAUUUUUCAAUUUUGACAUUAUGAAGGGAUAGUGUCAAGGUAGGAGGAUAGAACAUGUUUUAUUAAAGUUUCUUUACCUGAUUUAACUGUUAAAUAUUUAAACACAUGGUAUAGGGGCCUCUUGUUCCAGGUUCUGCACAUGUUCUGGGUAAAGCUUUUAGCUCGUUUCUCAGCUUUUGUCCCCACUCCAAAUCCAUUCUCCACAUGGAAGCCAUGGAAGCCAGACAGUAAUUGUUCCAAACAGGUAUAGUUCAGGUCACUCCCCUACUGGAAACUCUCUAGCAGCUCCUUGUUGUCCUUUAAAGAAAGUCUGAAUUCCCAACAGAAGCCUGCAAGCCCACCCCUUCACGACCUGACUCUUGCUCACCUUUCCUGCCAUUAAUCUGCCCUUCUCACUCUCAGUUUUGCCUCUCCAAAUUCUGAAAGCAUCCCUUCUCCUUCUCAAAUACACCAAGUUCAUCCCUGCCUCGGUAUCUUUUCUCUUGCAGAAUGCUCUUCGCAGAUCUUCAUACAGCUAAUUCUUUCUCAUUAUUUAGGUCUCAGUUCAAAAGUUGUCUCCUUCAGGGGCACCCAGCUGGUUUAGUUGGUGGAGCAUGUGACUCUUGAUCUCAGAAUUUGAGUUCAAGCCCCAUGUUGGCCAUGGAACCUACUUUAUAAAUAAAUAUAUACAUACAUACAUAUAUACAUACAUACAUACAUAAAGUUGCCUCCUUCAAAAGUCUUUGCUUUUUUUCUUCCCACAUCUACUGAGCAAUUACUGCAUGCCUGGCACUUUACUAAGUGCUCUAUAUCUGUUAACCCAUUUAAUUCUCCCAACAACCCUAUAAGGCAGCUGCUUUAUGACCUCAGAGAGUUUAAGUGAUUUGCUCAAGUCACACAGCUGAGAAGUGGUAGUGCUGGGAUUUGAAACCAGGCUCCAGAGCCCCAUUCUUAAUCUUGGGCUGUUACUGUUCUGGUCACCCAAAAUAAGAUAACGCCCUCCCUGUCCUAGUCAUUGUCACAUGACCCUGUCUUAUUUCUUCAUUUUGUCACUCUCUAAAACUAAUUUGUUUGUCAUGUGUUUCUUUGUGAAGAUUGGGACUUUUAUCAUCCUUGCUUAGCACAAUAACAGCAGAGCUGAGACUGGACCUGGCACACAGUAAUAACUUGUAUAUAUUUAUUAAAUAGGUUAAUAAACAAUUGAAUGGGGAUCCCUGGGUGGCGCAGUGGUUUGGCGCCUGCCUUUGGCCCAGGGCGCGAUCCUGGAGACCCGGGAUCGAGUCCCACGUCGGGCUCCCAGUGCAUGGGGCCUGCCUCUCCCUCUGCUUGUGUCUGCCUCUCCCUCUCUCUGUGUGACUAUCAUAAAUAAAAUUUAAAAAAAUUUUUUUAAAAUAAAUAAACAAUUGAAUGUAGCUUCUAAAAACAAUACAAAACAAAAACUAGUCAUUUUUUAAAAUCUUGAUUAGUUCAACAUGUAUUCUGAAGUUUUAUUUAUUUUUUUCAAAGAUUUAUUUAUUCUAGAGAGAAAGAAAGCUUGUGUGCAAGUGGGGGGAGGAGCAGAGGAAGAGAAUCUCCAAGCAGAUUCCCUGCUGAGUGGGGAUUCCCCAUGCAGGGCUCAGUCCCAUGACCAAUGAGAUCAUGACCUGAGCUGAAACCAAGAGUCUGAUGCUCAACUAAGCCACCUAGGUGCCCCAUUGUAUGCUAAAGUUUUAAUGGAUAAAAUUAUAUCAUGCCUAAGAUUUCCUUUAAAAUGCUCCAGGGGGAUCCCUGGGUGGCGCAGCAGUUUGGCGCCUGCCUUUGGCCCAGGGUGCGAUCCUGGAGACCCGGGAUCGAAUCCCACAUCGGGCUCCCAGUGCAUGGGGCCUGCUUCUCCCUCUGCCUGUGUCUCUGCCUCUCUCUCUCUCUCUGUGA
rnacentral:lncRNA from 1 species